GAGGGUAUAGCUCAGUGGUAGAUCAUGUGCUUAGCAUGCACGAAGUCCUUGGUUCAAUCCCCCGGUACCUCCA
rnacentral:tRNA from 1 species